UACGUAGGGGGCAAGCGUUGUCCGGAUUUAUUGGGCGUAAAGAGCGUGUAGGCGGCCAGAUAGGUCAGCUGUGAAAACUCGAGGCUCAACCUCGAGACGUCGGUUGAAACCAUCUGGCUAGAGUCCGGAAGAGGAGAGUGGAAUUCCCGGUGUAGCGGUGAAAUGCGCAGAUAUCGGGAAGAACACCCGUGGCGAAGGCGGCUCUCUGGGACGGUACUGACGCGGAGACGCGAAAGCGUGGGGAGCGAACAGG
rnacentral:rRNA from 1 species